rnacentral:rRNA from 1 species
GACGAACGCUGGCGGCGUGCUUAACACAUGCAAGUCGAACGAAGUGGCGAACGGGUGAGUAACGCGUAAUCAACCUGCCCUUCAGAGGGGGAUAACAGUUGGAAACGACAGCUAAUACCGCAUACUGAUGGAGGGGAUUGUGUCUGAUUAGCUUGGGGGAGGGGUAACGGCCCACCAAGGCGAUGAUCAGUAGCCGCACUGAGACGAUGGACGGCCAGAUUGGGACUGGGACACGGCCCAGACUCCUACGGGAUGCGGCAGUGGGGAAUCUUCCGCAAUGGACGAAAGUCUGACGGAGCAACGCCGCGUGAGUGAUGACGGCCUUCGGGUUGUAGAGCUCUGUUAAUCGGGACGCGGUACCGGGAUAAAAAGCCACGGCUAACUACGUGCCAGCAGCCGCGGUAAUAC